rnacentral:rRNA from 1 species
GCCCCAGUUACGGCGAGUGAGCGGCAAGCUCAAAUUUGAAUCCUGCGGGAAUUGUAAUUUGAAGGUUUCGUGGUCUGAGUCGGCCGCGCCCAAGUCCAUUGGAACAUGGCGCCUGGGAGGGUGAGAGCCCCGUCCGGCGCACGCCGACUCUUUGCACCGCGGCUCCGACGAGUCGAGUUGUUUGGGAAUGCAGCUCUAAGUGGGUGGUAAAUUCCAUCUAAAGCUAAAUAUUGGCGAGAGACCGAUAGCGAACAAGUACAGUGAUGGAAAGAUGAAAAGCACUUUGAAAAGAGAGUGAACCACACGUGAGAAGUUGUUAAAAAGGGAAGGG